ACACUCCUGCGGGAGGCAGCAGUGGGGAAUAUUGGACAAUGGGCGCAAGCCUGAUCCAGCCAUGCCGCGUGAGUGAUGAAGGCCCUAGGGUUGUAAAGCUCUUUCACCGGAGAAGAUAAUGACGGUAUCCGGAGAAGAAGCCCCGGCUAACUUCGUGCCAGCAGCCGCGGUAAUACGAAGGGGGCUAGCGUUGUUCGGAAUUACUGGGCGUAAAGCGCACGUAGGCGGAUCGAUCAGUCAGGGGUGAAAUCCCAGGGCUCAACCCUGGAACUGCCUUUGAUACUGUCGAUCUGGAGGAUGGAAGAGGUGAGUGGAAUUCCGAGUGUAGAGGUGAAAUUCGUAGAUAUUCGGAGGAACACCAGUGGCGAAGGCGGCUCACUGGUCCAUUACUGACGCUGAGGUGCGAAAGCGUGGGGAGCAAACAGGAUUAGAUACCCUUGUAGUCC
rnacentral:rRNA from 1 species